CCUACGGGGGGCAGCAGUGGGGAAUAUUGGGCAAUGGGCGCAAGCCUGACCCAGCAACGCCGCGUGAAGGAAGAAGGCUUUCGGGUUGUAAACUUCUUUUAAGAGGGAAGAGCAGAAGUCGGUACCUCUUGAAUAAGCCACGGCUAACUACGUGCCAGCAGCCGCGGUAAUACGGAGGGGGCAAGCGUUGUCCGGAUUUACUGGGGGUAAAGGGCGUGCAGCCGGGAAGGUAAGUCAGAUGUGAAAUACCGGGGCUCAACCGCGGAAAUGCAUUUGAAACUGUUUUUCUUGAGUACCGGAGAGGUCAGCGGAAUUCCUUGUGUAGCGGUGAAAUGCGUAGAUAUAAGGAAGAACACCAGUGGCGAAGGCGGAUGACUGGACGGCAACUGACGGUGAGGCGCGAAAGCGUGGGGAGCAAACAGGAUUAGAUACCCCUGUAGUC
rnacentral:rRNA from 1 species